UACGUAGGGUGCAAGCGUUAUCGGAAUUACUGGGCGUAAAGCGUGCGCAGGCGGUUUAUGAUAAGACAGAUGUGAAAUCCCCGGGCUCAACCUGGGAACUGCAUUGUGACUGCAUAGCUAGAGUACGGGUAGAGGGGGAUGGAAUUCCGCGUGUAGCAGUGAAAUGCGUAGAUAUGCGGAGGAACACCGAUGGCGAAGGCAAUCCCCUGGACCUGUACUGACGCUCAUGCACGAA
rnacentral:rRNA from 1 species